CUUCUAGCUAGCUAGUCUCCGGUUGCAGGCAAACAUGGAGGGCAAGGAGGAGGACGUUCGCCUGGGCGCCAACAAGUACUCGGAGCGCCAGCCCAUCGGCACGGCGGCGCAGGGCAGCGAUGACAAGGACUACAAGGAGCCCCCUCCGGCGCCGCUGUUCGAGCCCGGGGAGCUCAAGUCCUGGUCCUUCUACCGCGCCGGCAUCGCCGAGUUCGUCGCCACCUUCCUCUUCCUCUACAUCAGCAUCCUCACCGUCAUGGGCGUCAGCAAGUCCCAGUCCAAGUGCGCCACCGUCGGCAUCCAGGGCAUCGCCUGGUCCUUCGGCGGCAUGAUCUUCGCCCUCGUCUACUGCACCGCCGGCAUCUCCGGUACCGUACCACCCGCCUCUGUUUCUUCUUGGUUCCCUCCUCUGCUUCUUGCCUUCUUUGCCUGCGUCGUGCUAAGCUAGCUGCUGAUGUUUUUUUUUUCCCUCUCGAAACUGCAGGCGGGCACAUCAACCCGGCGGUGACCUUCGGGCUGUUCCUGGCGAGGAAACUGUCGUUGACCAGGGCCGUCUUCUACAUGAUCAUGCAGUGCCUGGGCGCCAUCUGCGGCGCCGGCGUCGUCAAGGGCUUCCAGCAGGGGCUGUACAUGGGCAACGGCGGCGGCGCCAACAUGGUCGCGGCUGGCUACACCAAGGGCGACGGCCUCGGCGCUGAGAUCGUCGGCACCUUCAUCCUCGUCUACACCGUCUUCUCCGCCACCGACGCCAAGAGGAACGCCAGGGACUCCCACGUCCCGGUGAGUGUUCAUAUCUAGUAAUCCUUGCUUGAUUGCUUGUUCAUGGGUGUCAAGGAUUCGAGGCUUGACAUGACGCUGGUUUCUUUGUUGGAUGAAACAGAUCCUUGCCCCGCUGCCAAUUGGGUUCGCCGUGUUCCUGGUCCACCUGGCCACCAUCCCCAUCACCGGCACCGGCAUCAACCCGGCGAGGAGCCUUGGCGCCGCCGUCAUCUACAACAGGCGCCAAGCCUGGGAUGACCACGUGAGUUCACUGACUGAGAACUGGUGCAACUUGGUUUAGCUAACUUUCACCUAGAAGUAUAAGAAGAUGAAGAGUAUGAACUGAGUUAAUUCAUACAAAUUCUGAAGUCUCCUUGAUUAGCUGAUGAAAUCUAAUUGCGAUGUCUGCUCUGAAAAACUAAUAAACAGAGAAGUUCACUCUGAUAGCUAGCUGAUGUAAAAUUGGGGAGUAACUCCGGGUAAAAUUAUGUUUAGAUGGAGUAGCCAACUGCUACCACUACUAGAAAUCAUUCAGUAGUUGAUUUCGAAAGGUUCCAAGCACUACAGGAUAAGCUCAUAGACAUUUGUUCUUUGUUUAAUUCUGGAAACCUUCCCUUGUCCGAAGGGAAAAAAACUGAGAGGCCUGCUUUAUUGCAGCAAGCAACCACUACCUACCAGGACAACGACCCUGCAUUAUCCACCCUCGCAUGCUAAGCCUUUCAUUAGCGUGAAAUAAUUCAGAGCGCUGACCAUAAUCAUUCAUUCCUGCCUUUGCAGUGGAUCUUCUGGGUCGGCCCCUUCAUCGGCGCUGCCCUGGCUGCCAUCUACCACCAGGUGGUCAUCAGGGCGAUCCCGUUCAAGAGCAGGUCUUAAGCUGCUGCUGCUGCUGUGUCCUGUGCUGUGAGAUGCCAGUCCAAACAGGCAAGCUGCUUCGGAUGGGGGUGUGUGGUCGCCUCCAAUCCUUGUUACUGUGUUGCUGUGGAGUUGUUCCAUUUCUCUUCAAGUUUGCUGU
rnacentral:lncRNA from 1 species